rnacentral:rRNA from 1 species
UAAGACGUAGGGUGCAAGCGUUGUCCGGAUUUACUGGGCGUAAAGAGCGCGUAGGCGGUCUGUUAAGUGAGAAGUGAAAUCUCCAGGGCUCAACCCGGAAACUGCUUUUCAUACUGGCAGACUUGAGGGAUGCAGAGGUGAAUAGAAUUCCUGGUGUAGCGGUGACAUGCAUUGAUAUCAGGAGGAAUACCCAUGGCGAAGGCAGUUCACUGGGCAUCAUCUGACGCUGAGGCGCGAAAGCGUGGGUAGCAAACAGG